rnacentral:rRNA from 1 species
UACGAAGGGUGCAAGCGUUACUCGGAAUUACUGGGCGUAAAGCGUGCGUAGGUGGUUUGUUAAGUCUGUUGUGAAAGCCCCGGGCUCAACCUGGGAAUGGCAAUGGAUACUGGCAAGCUAGAGUGCGGUAGAGGGUAGUGGAAUUCCCGGUGUAGCGGUGAAAUGCGUAGAGAUCGGGAGGAACACCAGUGGCGAAGGCGGCUACCUGGACCAGCACUGACACUGGAGGCACGAAAGCGUGGGGAGCAAACAGGG